UGAUGAUAUUCAGGUGACGGAGCAGUUAUCGUACGAAGAGCAGCCCGUAUCUAUCUUGGAUCGUCAGGUAAGGAGGCUCCGGAAUAAAGAUGUGGCCUCCGUUAAGGUACUGUGGCGGAAUAAUAACCGGGAGGAAAUGACCUGGGAGUCUGAGGAAGAAAUGAAGAAGAAAUAUCCUCAAUUGUUCCCUAUGCCCACAGUUGGAUUGGAGUGGGGAGCAUUAGAAUCACCAAAGUGAUCAUAUUUCCAAGUGAAGAAGACUUGAAGAAAAGUUUUUCGACGAAACGGGAAGUGAGUUUGGAAAGGCUUAAGGAGCGUGAAAGGUA